UGGGAGCCGUCCAGAGUGGCUGGGGAAACCCAGCCAGAUGGGCGGGGUAUUAUUUAUUUAUUUAUUUAUUUAUACCCCCGCCCAUCUGGCUGGGUUUCCCCAGCCACUCUGAACAGCUCCCU